CCUACGGGAGGCAGCAGUUAGGAAUAUUCCACAAUGGGGGCAACCCUGAUGGAGCAACGCCGCGUGGAGGAUGAAGGCCUUAGGGUCGUAAACUUCUUUUCUAUGCGAAGAAUAUGACGGUAACAUAGGAAUAAGGGUCUGCUAACUACGUGCCAGCAGCCGCGGUAAU
rnacentral:rRNA from 1 species